rnacentral:rRNA from 1 species
CGGCGCGCCUAACACAUGCAAGUCGAACGAGUAAGACGCCUUCGGGCGUGGAUAGAGUGGCGAACGGGUGAGUAACACGUGACCAACCUGCCCCCUCCUCCGGGACAACCUCGGGAAACCGAGGCUAAUACCGGAUACUCCGGGCACCCCGCAUGGGAUGCCCGGGAAAGCCCUCGCGGGAGGGGAUGGGGUCGCGGCCCAUCAGGUAGACGGCGGGGUAACGGCCCACCGUGCCCGCAACGGGUAGCCGGGCUGAGAGGCCGAUCGGCCACAUUGGGACUGAGACACGGCCCAGACUCC